UUAGCUUGUGUUUGGUAUUGUUUCCUCACAAUAUGCUUACAGUCAUGGUCCCGGCUUGAAAGGAUGUGGCGUCCGACUUAAACAUAGGAUUGUUGUAGCAAGUGUCCCCUUCAUCAUUUACCUUAGAGGGAUCUUUUUGCCAAAAUUUGGCAUUUCAGCAACCAGUUUUGUUUUUUAUUUGGUACAUGCUUCUCUCAUUCAGUGAUUUAAGGGAAGUAUUGACCUUAUUCGCUUGUCUUUGCAUACAAAGGUGACAUGGAUCAAUGAUAUUUGCUGUGUUGAGAAUUCUGCGGGAAGCUGUGUCCCCAAAAGAAGUACCAGAAACCCCUUUCAGGAAGCUUGCAUUGAUCUGAACUGCCUUUCUGCCCCUGUUACAACAUGAAACCUCAUUUCUAAGCUUAUAAUGCUUUCCUACAUGUGUGUGUCUUGUUCAUUUUAACCUUUCCUUCCAUUCUAAACCCCCAAAAUGAGCAUUUUUGACUUUGGCUCGGUUAUGAAGCGCCAUUUUGACCAGAUUGCCACCAUCAAAAUAGUCAAAAGUUGGAGACUACAUGAGACUUUGACAGAUGGCGGGAAACCCUUCUCAACUGGUAGGGAAAUGUCUGGGACUUAGCCGAGGGCAACUGGAGAAGGGUUGUUGAUGGCAAAACAGGUUGGAGACUACAUGAGACUUUGACAGAUGGCGGGAAACCCUUCUCAACUGGUACGAAGCCGGAUAAUAGAUGGCCAUAAAACAGUGACCGCUGAUUCGCGUCGAAUUCUUUCUUGCAUAACGUAGGGAAAUGUCUGGGACUUAGCCGAGGGCAACUGGAGAAGGGUUGUUGAUGGCAAAACAGGUUGGAGACUACAUGAGACUUUGACAGAUGGCGGGAAACCCUUCUCAACUGGUACGAAGCCGGAUAAUAGAUGGCCAUAAAACAGUGACCGCUGAUUCGCGUCGAAUUCUUUCUUGCAUAACGUAGGGAAAUGUCUGGGACUUAGCCGAGGGCAACUGGAGAAGGGUUGUUGAUGGCAAAACAGGUAGGGAAAUGUCUGGGACUUAGCCGAGGGCAACUGGAGAAGGGUUGUUGAUGGCAAAACAGGUUGGAGACUACAUGAGACUUUGACAGAUGGCGGGAAACCCUUCUCAACUGGUACGAAGCCGGAUAAUAGAUGGCCAUAAAACAGUGACCGCUGAUUCGCGUCGAAUUCUUUCUUGCAUAACGUAGGGAAAUGUCUGGGACUUAGCCGAGGGCAACUGGAGAAGGGUUGUUGAUGGCAAA